rnacentral:rRNA from 1 species
AGAUUGAACGCUGGCGGCAUGCCUAACACAUGCAAGUCGAACGGGAGUAGCAAUACUCUAGUGGCGGACGGGUGAGGAAUACGUAGGAAUUUGCCCUUAAGUGGGGGAUAACCCGGGGAAACCCGGAUUAAUACCGCAUGACCUCGAAAGAGCAAAGUGGGGGAUCGCAAGACCUCACGCUUUUGGAGAAGCCUACGUCGGAUUAGCUAGUUGGUGAGGUAAUGGCUCACCAAGGCGACGAUCCGUAACUGGUCUGAGAGGAUGAUCAGUCACACCGGAACUGAGACACGGUCCGGACUCCUACGGGAGGCAGCAGUGGGGAAUAUUGGACAAUGGGCGCAAGCCUGACUCCAGCAAUGCCGCGUGUGUGAAGAAGGCCGUUACGGGGUUGUAAAGU